CCAGACUCCUACGGGAGGCAGCAGUGGGGAAUAUUGCACAAUGGGCGCAAGCCUGAUGCAGCGACGCCGCGUGAGGGAUGACGGCCUUCGGGUUGUAAACCUCUGUUAGCAUCGAAGAAGCGAAAGUGACGGUAGGUGCAGAGAAAGCGCCGGCUAACUACGUGCCAGCAGCCGCGGUAAUACGUAGGGCGCGAGCGUUGUCCGGAAUUAUUGGGCGUAAAGAGCUUGUAGGCGGUUGGUCGCGUCUGCUGUGAAAGGCCGGGGCUUAACUCCGGUUUUGCAGUGGGUACGGGCUAACUAGAGUGCAGUAGGGGAGACUGGAAUUCCUGGUGUAGCGGUGGAAUGCACAGAUAUCAGGAGGAACACCGAUGGCGAAGGCAGGUCUUUGGGCUGUAACUGACGCUGAGAAGCGAAAGCAUGGGGAGCGAACAGGAUUAGAUACCCUGGUAGUCCAUGCCGUAAACGUUGGGCACUAGGUGUGGGGGACAUUCCACGUUUUCCGCGCCGU
rnacentral:rRNA from 1 species